rnacentral:rRNA from 1 species
GAUGAACGCUGGCGGCGUGCCUAAUACAUGCAAGUCGAGCGAACGGACGAGAAGCUUGCUUCUCUGAUGUUAGCGGCGGACGGGUGAGUAACACGUGGAUAACCUACCUAUAAGACUGGGAUAACUUCGGGAAACCGUAGCUAAUACCGGAUAAUAUUUUGAACCGCAUGGUUCAAUAGUGAAAGACGGUCUUGCUGUCACUUAUAGAUGGAUCCGCGCUGCAUUAGCUAGUUGGUAAGGUAACGGCUUACCAAGGCGACGAUGCAUAGCCGACCUGAGAGGGUGAUCGGCCACACUGGAACUGAGACACGGUCCAGACUCCUACGGGAGGCAGCAGUAGGGAAUCUUCCGCAAUGGGCGAAAGCCUGACGGAGCAACGCCGCGUGAGUGAUGAAGGUCUUCGGAUCGUAAAACUCUGUUAUUAGGGAAGAACAUAUGUGUAAGUAACUGUGCACGUCUUGACGGUACCUAAUCAGAAAGCCACGGCUAACUACGUG